UAUGAACCGGAGCUAAGCAUAUUAACAUAUCUAGUAAUCCUAGUAAUAUUGAUAAGUUACUAGACAUUUUUCAAAGCGCUUACACUGCUGCUAGUAAGCCUAGUAUAACUAGUACGAUGUAAGGAUUACUAGGAAACCAAGCUCUUUAAGCAUCCUGGGACAGAUUCUAAAUUCAUUUUAUUUCAUUUAGUAAUCUUUUAAACAAUCCUCAGGUUUUCAAACACUNN
rnacentral:lncRNA from 1 species